rnacentral:tRNA from 1 species
GGGGGUAUAGCUCAGUGGUAGAGCACCCACAUACGUAUCGGAAGGUCGGGGGCUCGACUCCCUCUGCCUCCA